GUCAGAUGUAGAAACGGCCCGGGGCUACAACCGUACGGAAUAGCUAUUUAGUAAACGUGGCAGACUAGAGUACUGUAGGAGGGGGGUAGAAUUUCAGGUGUAGCGGUGAAAAUGCGUAGAGAUCUGAAGGAAUACCGGUGGCGAAGGCGGCCCCCUGGACAGAUACUGACACUCAGAUGCGAAAGCGUGGGGAGCAAACAGGAUUAGAUACCCUGGUAG
rnacentral:rRNA from 1 species